rnacentral:rRNA from 1 species
GAUGAACGCUGGCUACAGGCUUAACACAUGCAAGUCGAGGGGAAACGACGGGGAAGCUUGCUUCCCCGGGCGUCGACCGGCGCACGGGUGAGUAACGCGUAUCCAACCUGCCUCUGACUGAGGGAUAACCCGUCGAAAGUCGGCCUAAUACCUCAUGGCAUCGUCUGCGGGCAUCCAACGACGAUUAAAGAUUUCAUCGGUCAGAGAUGGGGAUGCGUCUGAUUAGCUUGUUGGCGGGGUAACGGCCCACCAAGGCGACGAUCAGUAGGGGUUCUGAGUGGAAGGUCCCCCACAUUGGAACUGAGACACGGUCCAAACUCCUACGGGAGGCAGCAGUGAGGAAUAUUGGUCAAUGGGCGAGAGCCUGAACCAGCCAAGUAGCGUGCAGGAUGACGGCCCUAUGGGUUGUAAACUGCUUUUAUGCGGGGAUAAAGUGAGGGACGUGUCCUUCAUUGCAGGUACCGCAUGAAUAAGGACCGGCUAAUUCCGUG